rnacentral:rRNA from 1 species
AUGAGCUCUCCGGCGAGGUCGACCGUCUCGGCGGCGAGCGCGGGAGGCGGGAUCGCGAUCUCCGCUGCCGACGACCUCGCCGACUCGAUCGACGCGCUCUACCGCAAGGACGAGGCCAUGGCCGAGCUCAAGUCGGAGGUCAUGGAGGCGCUACAAAAGGAGGUCAGGUCUCUCGACGACAACAGCUGGAUGUUCGCCGCCCCGCGCUCCCGCAUCAACCUCGUCUCCAGGCCAGGUGGUUACCUGCCCAAGCAACAGGGGAAAAUUGCGGAGCUGGAUCAAGCGUCCAAGAAGACAAGGAACUGCUAG